GCUGCGAUAGUUUAUAAUAAAACAUUAGCCUGUGAAGCUAAAAAUGGAAUCAUCACCCACAUCCCCACAGCC
rnacentral:tRNA from 1 species